rnacentral:rRNA from 1 species
AACGAACGCUGGCGGCAUGCCUAACACAUGCAAGUCGAACGAGACCUUCGGGUCUAGUGGCGCACGGGUGCGUAACGCGUGGGAACCUGCCCUUAGGUUCGGACUAACUCCCCGAAAGGGGUGCUAAUACCGGAUAAUGUCUUCGGACCAAAGAUUUAUCGCGUUUGGAUGGGCCCGCGUUGGAUUAGCUAGUUGGUAGGGUAAAAGCCUACCAAGGCGACGAUCCAUAGCUGGUCUGAGAGGAUGAUCAGCCACACUGGGACUGAGACACGGCCCAGACUCCUACGGGAGGCAGCAGUGGGGAAUAUUGGACAAUGGGCGAAAGCCUGAUCCAGCAAUGCCGCGUGAGUGAUGAAGGCCUUAGGGUUGUAAAGCUCUUUUACCCGGGAUGAUAAUGACAGUACCGGGAGAAUAAGCUCCGGCUAACUCCGUG